CGGCGUUCCCAGCUGGAGCGCGCCGGGGGAGCCUCGACCGGGCCACGCUUCCUUUCCUUAUCCUGCGGGCUGACGCACGCGGGGAGCUUGUCAAGCCGAGAAAAGAUGGAAGGAAAGAGCUCUGCUGUCUUCCCGUCCUAUCUCGUUUCGGAUCUGGCUACACCCUUCUCCUGCUCCCCCUCACACGCGCUCGCAGACGCAGGAGGGAAACCAACUGGCUUCCUUUUCUUGGCUGCAGCCGCUUCCUUCCCUUUGAGCCCGGCAGCCGGGGGUUAGUCAGAGAAACCUUUAAACUCUGCCUCGCAAACCGCAGCAGCGAACAUGAAAGCGGCAGACGCAGCGAGACGGAACUGGAAGCCAGCAGCGGGCUGGCGGCCCGCGUUAUCGGUGUCACAUUGAAACCCAGCGCCGGGGCGGCCGCACACCAAACCCAGCAGGAACUGCACACACCCCGCCACAUGUUCCGCCCCGGCCUGGGAGACACAAACAAGCCUCAGCGCGAGAGGCAUCCAAGUAUUUAUUUAGCUGGCCGGGGCGAAGCCCACACACCGUCCUUAGGGGAAUCGCACAUCUGCUAACACUUCCCCGCCUUCCUCUGGGGCGACCCUAAAGGCGCAGCGGGGACCUCAAGGGCAAGGCAGGGGCGGUGCACGAAGGACGUCCAGCGGGACCGUCUCCAAUUUCCUCCUGGCGCCGCGUGCCCGGCCCCGUGCCGCUCGGGGACGCCUGGCUCCGGAACGCGUUUCAGAGACAAUGCAGCUGAGAAAUGUGGGUUUGAUUACAAACAAGCCCUCCCUGCCCUGAUCGAGACCCAUCACAUGGUGUCUGCACGGGGAGGAAGAGAGCGAUGAGUUUGCAGGAAGAGGGAUGGGGG